rnacentral:rRNA from 1 species
CGCCUGUUUAUCAAAAACAUGUCUUUUUGAUAAUAAUUUAAAGUCUGACCUGCCCACUGAUAUAAAUUGAAGGGCCGCAGUAUUUUGACUGUGCAAAGGUAGCAUAAUCAUUAGUCUUUUAAUUGAGGACUGGUAUGAAUGGUUUAACGAAAUAUUGACUGUCUCAUAAUAAUAAUAUAGAAUUUAACUUUUAAGUCAAAAGGCUUAAAUGUUAUUAGAGGACGAGAAGACCCUAUAGAGCUUAAUAUUUAUAUAUUUAAAUUUUAUUUAGUUGUUUAUAAUUUUUAGAUAUAUAAAUAUUUUAUUGGGGUGAUAAUAAGAUAAAAGUAACUCUUUAAUUAUAAAAACAUUAAUUUAUGAAUGAUUGAUCCAUUUAUAGUGAUUAGAAGAUUAAGUUACCUUAGGGAUAACAGCGUAAUAUUUUUUAAGAGUUCUUAUCAACAAAAAAGAUUGCGACCUCGAUGUUGGAUUAAGGUAAUAAUUGGGUGUAGAAGUUCAAAUUUUAGGUCUGUUCGACCUUUAAAUCCUUACAUGAUCUGAGUUCAAACC